GAUGAAGAACGCAGCGAAAUGCGAUAAGUAAUGUGAAUUGCAGAAUUCAGUGAAUCAUCGAAUCUUUGAACGCACAUUGCGCCCGUCAGUAUUCUGGCGGGCAUGCCUGUUCGAGCGUCAUUACGCCCCUCAAGUCCCCUGUGGACUUGGUGUUGGGGAUCGGCGAGGCUGGUCUUCCAGCACAGCCGUCCCUUAAAUUAAUUGGCGGUCUCGCCGUGGCCCUCCUCUGCGCAGUAGUAAAACACUCGCAACAGGAGCCCGGCGCGGUCCACUGCCGUAAAACCCCCCAACUUUUUAUAGUUGACCUCGAAUCAGGUAGGACUACCCGCUGAACUUAAGCAUAUCAAUAAGCGGAGGA
rnacentral:misc_RNA from 1 species